rnacentral:rRNA from 1 species
GGACGAACGCUGGCGGCGUGCCUAAUGCAUGCAAGUCGAGCGGGCUACGGUCUUCGGACUGUAGCUUAGCGGCGAACGGGUGAGUAACACGUAGGUAAUCUACCCUUCAGAGGAGGACAACCUCAGGAAACUGAGGCUAAACCUUCAUACGUUCACUGGUAGGGAUACUGGUGAAGAAAGAGUUACCGUUGAGGUAGCUGCUGAAGGAUGAGCCUGCGGCCCAUCAGGUAGUUGGUGAGGUAACGGCCCACCAAGGCUUUGACGGUUAGCUGGUCUGAGAGGAUGGCCAGCCACACUGGGACUGAGAUACUGCCCAGACUCCUACGGGAGGCUGCAGUCGAGAAUCAUUCGCAAUGGGCGAAAGCCUGACGGUGCGACGUCGCGUGGAGGAUGAAGGUCUUCGGAUUGUAAACUCCUGUCAUGUGGGAGAAAUGGCCAGGGCACGAAUAGUGCUUUGGAAUGAUAGUACCACAGGAGGAAGAGACGGCUAACUCUGUGCCAGCAGCCGCGGUAAUACAGAGGUCUCGAGCGUUGUUCGGAUUUACUGGGCGUAAAGGGAGCGNNNNGCGGUUCGGUAUGUCGAAUGUGAAAGCCCACAACUCAACUGUGGAAAUGCAUUCGAAACUGCCGGGCUAGAGUACUGGAGAGGAGAGCGGAAUUCUUGGUGUAGCGGUGAAAUGCGUAGAUAUCAAGAGGAACACCGGUGGCGAAGGCGGCUCUCUGGACAGAUACUGACGCUGAGGCUCUAAAGUUAGGGGAGCAAACAGGAUUAGAUACCCUGGUAGUCCUAACCUUAAACGGUGUACACUUGGUGUGCGAGGAAUUGUCCCUUUGCGCGCCGCAGCUAACGCGAUAAGUGUACCGCCUGGGGAGUACGGUCGCAAGAUUAAAACUCAAAGGAAUUGACGGGGACCCGCACAAGCGGUGGAGCAUGUGGCUUAAUUCGAUGCAACGCGAAGAACCUUACCUGGACUUGACAUGCCAGUGGUAGAACCCUGAAAGGGGGACGACCGUAGCAAUACGGAGCUGGCACAGGUGCUGCAUGCCUGUCGUCAGCUCGUGCCGUGAGGUGUUGGGUUAAGUCCCGCAACGAGCGCAACCCCUGUGGUUAGUUGCCCUUAUCCAGUUAGGCACUCUAGCCAGACUGCCUGUGAUAAGCAGGAGGAAGGUGGGGAUGACGUCAAGUCAGUAUGGUCCUUAUGUCCAGGGCUGCACACGUGCUACAAUGACCAGCACAGAAGGAAGCAAUACCGCGAGGUGGAGCUAAUCCCCAAAACUGGUCUCAGUUCGGAUUGGAGUCUGCAACCCGACUCCAUGAAGCUGGAAUCGCUAGUAACGGCGCAUCAGCUACGGCGCCGUGAAUACGUUCCCGGGUCU